GCCUAAAAAUAUCUGCCUCCACUUCCUCUGUCUCUCUCUCCUCCCAUUCCUCUGCGCCGCCCCAUCUCCUCCGAUUCCCCUCCUCUUCUUCGUGCGCGGCGGCCGGCGCGCAGCUCCUGGCGCUGCCGUCCGUCCACCCUGGCUCUCUCAGAUCGGGGCGGGGCAGAGCAGCUCUGCCUUCUUCCCGUCCUCCAUCCACAUACGUGCAGCGACGACCUAGGAGAAGCUCAAGCCACAGUGAUGGUCCACGGCACCGUCGCCGUCGUCCUCGGCAGGAGGAGCACGGACCGCAUAGACGGCCGGCUCCGUCCUGCUCCCAUGCCGCCGUCCGUCCAUCCUUUCUCUGUCUUUUGUUUUCCUUCUCUUUUAGAUCGGGGCGACUGCUAAGUGCUAACUCUCUCUCUCAUUCUCAUUCUCAUUUUCGUUGGUGCUGAUGGACACGACCACCUCACGGUGAGUGAGGAAGAUGCUUUACUGCGGGGAGGGAAGCAGCCGCAGAUUGAGGAGGACGGCACAGGUCGCGAGCAUAGUCAUGGCCUUCAGAUUGAGGAGGACGGCACAGGUCAAGCUCAAGCCUGGGAACGCGUCCUGUGGCUAUGCAGCGGCUCUUCUUCACCGUCUGUCACUUUGACAACGACUGCUACGUCCAGCACGACUCCAACCUCUUUCCUCGGUCUCCGCCUAUGCUCCACCGGCACAAUCAGUAUAGUCAAGGUAUGAGUGGAUAGAGGCAGGGAGGAUGGGGAAGGAGACAAGCAGGAGGAAGAGAGAUUCUCGGUAGCACGCCCGCGGACCACCUUCUGAACUUACGAGACUCGGUUAUUUUUAGCACAUAGUUUUGACAAAAUUGUUCUGACUGUGCAUCUUGAGAGAGUCCAUGCCAAUGCAAAUCUUACAGUUCUCAGAACUCGUUCUGAAAUAUGGAGCAAGGCUCGGUUACAGUGUGUGGUCUUGGAAUGAGAGUUACAAUAUUGCCUUUGUAGUUGCAUGGGUAUCAGUUUUGUUAGUACCGAUCCUUCCAAACUAAAGAUUAGAGAGAUAAAAAUGUUGCACCUGAAGGGCCAGGAGUGAACUACUCAACUCAGUUCUAUAACAAUCAUACUGAAAAUCUUCUUGCAUUAUGAGGUAUUAUAGAGCUUUUACAUUUGCAUCAAGUAGGUAAAUCAAAUACUGGAUACGAGCAUUUUUUUACCUGAGGACUAUUGGCACUGGGAUGAUGGUCUUGAAAGCAAAUGAUUUUUUUACUCAGGUUGGACAGUGGCAACCCUUAUGCCGAUUAGUGUUAUAGCAGGCUUAUACUAAUUUCACAUGGUUUUAACUUUUAGGAUCCCAUGAUUAUGGGAGUUAAGAAAUUAUCCCUUUGUAGAUUUCAGUGAUCAAAUCAUUUGGUUAGUAUGUGUCUUGGUAAUUUUCUUGUUAGUUUGACAAGGAAUAUGCCUGUGGUAUCAUACAUGAUUAUGGGAAAGAAGGAAAACAAAUGGAAGUCUUCCUCCCUCAGUUUUUAUCCUUGAUUCUUCUGGUCUUGAUAGUCUUAUUUUGAUUUCUCAAUUUAUGGUUUUUCUAUACACAUGUGUGCAGAUUUGAGAAAGAAGAGAAGAGAAAUAAUCUUCAGGAAGAGUUUGGUGAAGAAUAAGGUCAUAUCAGCUCCAUAUCAUGUUGCAGAGGAAAAACUUCUCACCAUAUUCAGGCAUCUGUGGGAAGGAGAAGAACUGAAAAUGGUGACUUAUAUUGACUGGAAACCAAGUACUUGUCUAAUUAUUGUUCAGGAAAAAUAUAGUGUAUCAUGUUCUUGGUUGCUAAUACUGUAGUACCUAUGCAAAUCCUUCUGUCAGACCGCUGAAUGGAAAUAACUCAAAAGAAGAGAACGGAGAUGUUGUCUCUUUGCAAUUCGAUAACCGUCAGUUCAGUUACUAAGAACUCAAGACCAUCACAAAUAGAUUCGAGAAUUCCAUUGGCAAACGUCAGUUUGGAGUUGUCUAUCUUGGCUACUUGGAACAUGGAAACCCAGUUACUAUUACUGUUGUUUGGUAUUUGGACAUAUCUUUCUGAGAGGGAGAUGGGAACAGACAAAUUCGGGGAGAUGGGAACCGACAAAUUCAGUGAAGGUUGGCUGCGCGUAAACUAUUGUGAUCAAGUUGGGAACAAAUGUUUCCUCUAACUCCUCGUGUUGGAGACUGGGGUUAGGAGUGGAAGUGAUCCGUUAACAAACAAGAACUUGGCAGAAGCUAUACAUAUGCAAAUAGAGGUUCAGACACAGCUCCAUGAACAGCUAUAGGUGUCUUCUUUGUUCCUGUUUUCAAGCUCUAAUUGGAUGAUGCUGUUGUCGGCGUAUAUUUUUUAUGGUAGGAGCAUUUUUUUCUAGCUUCACAAUAAUUAAUGUGCUUUGUGUAGGUAUGAACCCAAAUCCAUAUUUAAAUGGGUGCUAAAUAUUUUUGCGGCAUGGUGGACU